UUUACAAAUGUAACCAUUUACCCCUUAUCCUGUCUGUAGUAGUGAUUGCUACUUAUAGUCACCUGUUCAAAAGCCCAUUUUAACCCUUCAUACUUAAGAAAAGACCAUGCUGCAAUGUACUAGCUACCACAUAUAUCAACCUUCUUGUGUUUCCUAAAUGUUUCCUAUGCAUGUAGUUAAAUAAAAGUAAAUACUUAGAGCCUAUUCCA
rnacentral:lncRNA from 1 species